rnacentral:rRNA from 1 species
AUUGAACGCUGGCGGCAGGCUUAACACAUGCAAGUCGAGCGGGGUGAUGGUGCUUGCACUAUCACUUAGCGGCGGACGGGUGAGUAAUGCUUAGGAAUCUGCCUAUUAGUGGGGGACAACAUCUCGAAAGGGAUGCUAAUACCGCAUACGUCCUACGGGAGAAAGCAGGGGAUCACUUGUGACCUUGCGCUAAUAGAUGAGCCUAAGUCGGAUUAGCUAGUUGGUGGGGUAAAGGCCUACCAAGGCGACGAUCUGUAGCGGGUCUGAGAGGAUGAUCCGCAACACUGGGACUGAGACACGGCCCAGACUCCUACGGGAGGCAGCAGUGGGGAAUAUUGCACAAUGGGCGCAAGCCUGCUGCAGCCAUGCCGCGUGUAUGAAGAAGGCCUUCGGGUUGUAAAGUACUUUCAGCGGGGAGGAAGGCGGCAAGGUUAAUAACCUUGCCGAUUGACGUUACCCGCAGAAGAAGCACCGGCUAACUCCGUGCCAGCAGCCGCCGUAA